GCAGGCGCGCGCCCAACGGCUUUGCGAGGCUCACUCGGUCUGAGAGGUCGGAGGCUGCGAGUGUCGCUGCUGAAGGCUGUGGUGGACCGGGCUGGAUCGCGGAUUGUGGAGUAGAUUAUAGAUUUGAAAUAGCGGAGUUGGGGUUGGAUCGGGGCUUUGGGGUUGGAUAGGGGAUUUGGGGCUGGGUCGGCCGGGGUCGGGGAGGGGGGUGGUGAAAAGGUGACAGGGAGCUGCCCUCGCUCAAGAGCCGGUGGUUGGGGGUCUGAGAAGAAGUCACCAAUAUGAAGUUAUUCGGCUUCGGGAGCCGCAGGGGCCAGACGGCCCAGGGCUCCAUAGACCACGUCUACACGGGUUCCGGAUACCGAAUCCGGGACUCCGAACUGCAGAAGAUCCACAGGGCAGCUGUCAAAGGCGACGCCGCGGAGGUGGAGCGCUGCUUGGCGCGCAGGAGCGGAGAACUGGACGCCCUGGACAAGCAGCACAGAACUGCUCUACACUUGGCCUGUGCCAGUGGCCAUGUGCAAGUGGUCACUCUCCUGGUUAACAGAAAAUGCCAGAUUGAUGUCUGUGACAAAGAAAACAGAACGCCUUUGAUACAGGCUGUCCAUUGCCAGGAAGAGGCUUGUGCCGUUAUUCUGCUGGAACAUGGCGCCAAUCCAAACCUUAAGGAUAUCUACGGCAACACUGCUCUCCAUUAUGCCGUGUAUAGUGAGAGCACCUCACUGGCAGAAAAACUGCUUUCCCAUGGUGCACAUAUUGAAGCACUGGACAAGGACAAUAAUACCCCACUUUUAUUUGCUAUAAUUUGCAAGAAAGAGAAAAUGGUGGAAUUUUUAUUGAAAAAGAAAGCAAGUUCACAUGCCGUUGAUAGGCUGAGACGGUCAGCUCUCAUGCUUGCUGUAUACUAUGACUCACCAGGUAUUGUCAAUAUCCUUCUUAAGCAAAAUAUUGAUGUCUUCGCUCAAGACAUGUGUGGACGAGAUGCAGAAGAUUAUGCUAUUUCUCAUCAUUUGACAAAAAUUCAACAACAAAUUUUGGAACAUAAAAAGAAGAUACUUAAAAAGGAGAAAUCAGAUGUUGGAAGUUCUGAUGAAUCUGCAGUCAGCAUUUUCCAUGAACUGCGUGUGGAUUCAUUGCCUGCAUCGGAUGACAAAGACUUGAAUGUUGCUACUAAGUGUGUCCCCGAGAAAGUGUCAGAGCCUUUACCUGGAUCUUCGCAUGAAAAAGGAAACAGAAUAGUCAAUGGACAAGGAGAAGGGCCUCCUGCAAAACAUCCUUCCUUGAAGCCUAGCACUGAAGUGGAAGAUCCUGCUGUGAAAGGAGCAGUACAAAGAAAGAAUGUACAGACAUUGAGAGCAGAACAAGCCUUACCAGUGGCUUCAGAGGAAGAGCAACAAAGGCAUGAAAGAAGUGAAAAGAAGCAACCACAGGUCAAAGAAGGAAAUAAUACAAACAAAAGUGAAAAAAUACAACUUUCAGAAAAUAUAUGUGAUAGUACAUCUUCUGCUGCUGCUGGCAGAUUAACCCAACAAAGAAAGAUUGGGAAAACGUAUCCUCAGCAAUUUCCCAAGAAGCUGAAGGAAGAGCAUGAUAGAUGCACCUUAAAACAAGAAAAUGAAGAAAAAACAAAUGUUAAUAUGCUGUACAAAAAAAAUAGAGAAGAAUUAGAAAGGAAAGAGAAACAAUAUAAGAAAGAAGUUGAAGCAAAACAACUUGAACCAACUGUUCAGUCACUAGAGAUGAAAUCAAAGACUGCAAGAAAUACUCCAAAUUGGGUAAAUCAAUCUUUGGAUUUUCAUAAUCAUGAAGAAAUGAAAGGUCUGAUGGAUGAAAAUUGCAUUUUGAAGGCAGAUAUUGCUAUACUCAGACAGGAAAUAUGUACAAUGAAAAAUGACAACUUGGAAAAAGAAAAUAAAUAUCUUAAGGACAUUAAAAUUGUUAAAGAAACAAAUGCUGCCCUUGAAAAGUAUAUAAAACUCAAUGAGGAAAUGAUAACAGAAACAGCAUUCCGGUAUCAACAAGAGCUUAAUGAUCUCAAGGCUGAGAAUACAAGGCUCAAUGCCGAACUGUUGAAGGAAAAAGAAAGCAAGAAAAGACUGGAAGCUGACAUUGAAUCUUAUCAGUCUAGACUGGCUGCUGCUAUAAGCAAACACAGUGAAAGUGUGAAAACAGAAAGAAACCUAAAACUUGCUUUAGAGAGAACACAAGAUGUUUCUGUACAAGUAGAAAUGAGUUCUGCUAUUUCCAAAGUAAAAGAUGAGAAUGAGUUUCUUACUGAACAACUUUCUGAAACACAAAUUAAAUUCAAUGCCUUAAAAGAUAAGUUCCGUAAGACAAGAGAUAGUCUCAGAAAAAAGUCAUUGGCUUUAGAAACUGUACAAAACAACCUAAGCCAAACACAGCAGCAAACACAGGAAAUGAAAGAGAUGUAUCAAAAUGCAGAAGCUAAAGUGAAUAAUUCCACUGGAAAGUGGAACUGUGUAGAAGAGAGGAUAUGUCACCUCCAACGUGAAAAUGCGUGGCUUGUACAGCAACUAGAUGACGUUCAUCAGAAAGAGGAUCAUAAAGAGAUAGUAACUAAUAUCCAAAGAGGCUUUAUUGAGAGUGGAAAGAAAGACUUCGUGCUAGAAGAGAAAAGUAAGAAGCUAAUGAAUGAAUGUGAUCAUUUAAAAGAAAGUCUCUUUCAGUAUGAGAGAGAGAAAACAGAAGUAGUAGUGGUUGUGAGACAACUUCAACAAGAAGUGGCUGACAGCGUAAAAAAAUUAACGACGUUAGAGUCUCCACUGGAAGGUAUAUCACGUUGUCACAUUAAUUUGGAUGAGACACAGGCCUCAAAUAAGAAAUUAUUUCAAGUGAAAAGUCAAAUAUAAGAAACUCCUGGAAAUGACAAUAAAUAUGUUAAAUGUAUUUGGAAAUGAAGACUUUGAUUGCCAUGGAGACUUAAAAACAGAUCAACUGAAAAUGGAUAUUCUGAUUAAGAAGCUAAAACAGAAGUUUGAUGAUCUUACAGCACAGAAGGAAGCUUUAUCUUCAAAAUGUGUCAAUUUGGCUAAAGACAAUCAAGUUCUUCAACAGGAGUUUUUAUCUAUGAAAAAAGUACAACAGCAAUGUGAAAAACUUGAGGAGGAUAAAAAGAUGUUGAAAGAAGAAAUAUUAAAUCUUAAGACACAUAUGGAAAACAAUAGGGUAGAAAUUAGUAAACUACAAGAAUAUAAAUUGGAGCUAGAUGAAAAGGCAAUGCAGGCAGUAGAAAAAUUAGAAGAAAUCCAUUUACAGGAACAAGCACAAUAUGAAAAACAAUUAGAGCAGUUAAACAAGGAUAAUAUGGCUUCACUAAAUAAAAAGGAACUCACACUUAAAGAUGUGGAAUGUAAAUUCUCAGAAAUGAAAACUGCUUAUGAAGAGGUUACAACCGAAUUAGAAGAAUAUAAGGAAGCCUUUGCAGCAGCAUUGAAAGCUAACAAUUCCAUGUCAAAAAAGUUAACAAAAUCAAAUAAGAAAAUAGCAGUGAUUAGCAUGAAGCUCCUCAUGGAGAAAGAGCAGAUGAAAUAUUUUCUCAGUGCUCUUCCUACAAGGCGAGACCCAGAGUCACCUUGUGUUGAAAAUCUUACUAGUAUAGGACUCAACAGAAAAUAUAUUCCCCAAACACCCAUAAGAAUUCCUAUUUCAAGCCCACAGACUUCAAAUAACUGCAAGAACUCCUAGACUGUGAUGGAGCUGGACUGUGUAGAACAAAUAACUAGAGAAACAAAGAGAAUUGUUGCUGUGUUGAACACUUGCUCCCGUCUACUUACUUCUCUAUAAUCCACUGCCAUGGAAUGAGUGAUUUUUCUUAGAAGCAGAGGUGGAGCCACUGAGGAAGCACAGGCGAGCCCUCCCCAGCACGUGAUCACUGGUCCCCAACAGAACAACCGCUGCCGCAUCCAUGAGGCUCCCAUUGUGGUGGGUUGUGUCACCCCACAAUGUCACUGUUGCUGAGCCCCCAUCGCCUCUGUGUUGUGGAGCAGUUAGAGACACACUGUGGUGUCUGAGUGGCUCUGUGUGAAGGACCGUUUUCUAGGUGAGAGGCACAUCUCAACACAGCUGACUGAUCAGACUCAGCCGUUUUGCACACCCUGGUCAGAAUGAAACAUUCCUUGGGAACUCGGGCCGUGAGAAGCAUCCUUCCUGAUCACCUGACUGUAGAAACAUCCUUAUCGCACCCUCCCGGGCAAAGGCCCAACAGCCUGACUGCAGGAACAUCCUUGCCAUAUCCUGCCGGGCAGCAAGCUCUACCGCCCACACCCCUCCUUCCCAGUCCCAUGAUCACCCCAGCCUGUGAGAGGCAGUUGGUGCUGGCAGUAAGCUGGUUUCCUCCUCUGCAGGGUUUUGCUAGUAAUAAAGGUGU